AUUGAACGCUGGCGGCAUGCCUUACACAUGCAAGUCGAACGGCAGCGGGGACUUCGGUCCGCCGGCGAGUGGCGAACGGGUGAGUAAUGUAUCGGAACGUACCUUUCGGUGGGGGAUAACGUAGCGAAAGUUACGCUAAUACCGCAUAUUCUCUGAGGAGGAAAGCAGGGGACCUUCGGGCCUUGUGCUGAUGGAGCGGCCGAUAUCAGAUUAGCUAGUUGGUGAGGUAAAGGCUCACCAAGGCGACGAUCUGUAGCGGGUCUGAGAGGAUGAUCCGCCACACUGGGACUGAGACACGGCCCAGACUCCUACGGGAGGCAGCAGUGGGGAAUUUUGGACAAUGGGCGCAAGCCUGAUCCAGCCAUGCCGCGUGAGUGAAGAAGGCCUUCGGGUUGUAAAGCUCUUUCGGACGGGAAGAAAUUGGUGGGGCUAAUAUCCCCAUCGGAUGACGGUACCGUAAUAAGAAGCACCGGCUAACUACGUGCCAGCCGCCGCAGUAAUAC
rnacentral:rRNA from 1 species